rnacentral:rRNA from 1 species
GAUGAACGCUAGCGGCAGGCUUAAUACAUGCAAGUCGAGGGGCAGCAUGACUGUAGCAAUACAGUUGAUGGCGACCGGCAAACGGGUGCGGAACACGUACAGAACCUUCCUUCGAGCGGGGAAUAGCCCAGAGAAAUUUGGAUUAAUACCCCAUAGUAUAUUAGAGUGGCAUCACUUUGAUAUUAAAGAUUAUCACUUGAAGAUGGCUGUGCGGCUGAUUAGGUAGUUGGCGGGGUAACGGCCCACCAAGCCUUCGAUCAGUAACUGGUGUGAGAGCACGACCAGUCACACGGGCACUGAGACACGGGCCCGACUCCUACGGGAGGCAGCAGUAAGGAAUAUUGGUCAAUGGACGAAAGUACUGAACCAGCCAUGCCGCGUGGAGGAUGAAGGUCCUCUGGAUUGUAAACUUCUUUUAUAUGGGACGAAAAAAGGGUUUUACGUUAACUCGUCUGACGGUACCAUAUGAAUAAGCACCGGCUAACUCCGUGCCAGCAG